GAGUUUGAUCGUGGCUCAGAUUGAACGCUGGCGGCAGGCCUAACACAUGCAAGUCGAGCGGAUGACGGGAGCUUGCUCCUUGAUUCAGCGGCGGACGGGUGAGUAAUGCCUGGGAAUCUGCCUGGUAGUGGGGGACAACGUUUCGAAAGGAACGCUAAUACCGCAUACGUCCUACGGGAGAAAGCAGGGGACCUUCGGGCCUUGCGCUAUCAGAUGAGCCUAGGUCGGAUUAGCUAGUUGGUGGGGUAAUGGCUCACCAAGGCGACGAUCCGUAACUGGUCUGAGAGGAUGAUCAGUCACACUGGAACUGAGACACGGUCCAGACUCCUACGGGAGGCAGCAGUGGGGAAUAUUGGACAAUGGGCGAAAGCCUGAUCCAGCCAUGCCGCGUGUGUGAAGAAGGUCUUCGGAUUGUAAAGCACUUUAAGUUGGGAGGAAGGGCAGUAAGUUAAUACCUUGCUGUUUUGACGUUACCGACAGAAUAAGCACCGGCUAACUCUGUGCCAGCCGCCGACGG
rnacentral:rRNA from 1 species